CAAAAAUAAAACCAUAAUGGUCUACAAUAGCAUCCGUACUUUCUUAAGUACUUGGUGAACCAUAUCUACUAGACCCAUGGGCAAAGUUACUCUUUAAACCUAUAAAUUCAUUCGCUAGAGAAUAAGCUAGCAGUGAGGAUGGUACUAGCCACACGCAAUGCAAUAGGAGAAGCCUGGGCUACCAUAAAGAUUCCUUCUUUAACCAUAAUAGAGAAAUAGAUCUGCGAGAGCAUUGACAUGAAUAGAUUUACAUCACAAAGUCCUUCCACAAAAUGUGGGAUCCUUGGAUGGACAGAGACACUUCUUUCCUCUGGUAAAUAACAAUCCCUAACUAUUACAUACCCAUUUCUACUCUUUUUAUGAUUUUGAAAAC